rnacentral:rRNA from 1 species
CCGAGAAUAUUCGACAAUGGGCGAAAGCCUGAUCGAGCGACGCCGCGUGCAGGAAGAAGGUUUUCGGAUUGUAAACUGCUUUUCUAUGGGAAGAACAAAUGACGGUACCAUAGGAAUAAGGAGCUGCAAACUACGUGCCAGCAGCCGCGGUAAUACGUAGGCUCCAAGCGUUAUCCGGAUUUAUUGGGCGUAAAGGGUGCGUAGGAUGUUUUACGCGUCUCUUGUUAAAUUUUGCCGCUUAACGGCAAAGCCGCAGGAGAUACGGUAAAGCUAGAGAAUGCGAGAGGUCUCGCGGAACACAAGGUGUAGGGGUGAAAUCCGUUGAUAUCUUGUGGAACACCAAAAGCGAAGGCAGCAGACUGGCGCAUUUCUGACUCUGAGGCACGAAAGCGUGGGGAGC